GCUGGGCAUGGUGGCGCAUGCCUGUAAUCCCAGCUGCUCAGGAGGUUGAGGCAGGAGAACUGCUUGAACUCGGGAGGCCGAGCUUGCAGUAAGCUGUGAUCACACUACUGCACUCCAGCCUAGGUGACAGAGCAAGACUCCAUCUUGAAAAAUAUACAUAUAUAUAUAUUUUUGGGGGGGAUCUCACUCUGUCACCUAGGUUGGAGUGCAGUAGUGUGAUCACAGCUUACUGCAAGCUUGACCUCCUGGGCUCCAGGAAUCCUCCCACCU
rnacentral:SRP_RNA from 1 species